GUGGGGAAUAUUGGACAAUGGGCGAAAGCCUGAUCCAGCCAUGCCGCGUGUGUGAAGAAGGUCUUCGGAUUGUAAAGCACUUUAAGUUGGGAGGAAGGGCAGUAAGUUAAUACCUUGCUGUUUUGACGUUACCGACAGAAUAAGCACCGGCUAACUUCGUGCCAGCAGCCGCGGUAAUACGAAGGGUGCAAGCGUUAAUCGGAAUUACUGGGCGUAAAGCGCGCGUAGGUGGUUUUGUAAGUUGGAGGUGAAAUCACCGGGCUCAACAUGGGAGCUGCAUCCAAAACUGCAUGACUAGAGUACGGUAGAGGGUAGAGGAAUUUCCUGAGUAGCGGUGAAAUGCGUAGAUAUAGGAAGGAACACCAGUAGCGAAGGCGACGACCUGGACUGAUACUGACACUGAGGUGCGAAAGCGUGGGGAGCAAACAGGAUUAGAUACCCGGGUAGUCC
rnacentral:rRNA from 1 species